AUGUUUCUGAGGAUGAGCCAAAUUAAUUGCUUAUAUUUAGUUUUUUUGUCCAUAUUAACAUGGUUAAUUAAGGCUUAUAUAUCCAGAUUUAUUGGAUCUGGAGUAUUGCAACAGGUUUAAUGAUUAUUUACUUCUCCUCAAUGCUUGAUUUCUGUGUCUUGCCAGCAUUCCUUUCUGAAUGUGAGAUCUGGUGAAGUCGAG
rnacentral:lncRNA from 1 species